rnacentral:rRNA from 1 species
GACGAACGCUGGCGGCGUGCUUAACACAUGCAAGUCGAACGGAAAGGCCCUGCUUUUGUGGGGUGCUCGAGUGGCGAACGGGUGAGUAACACGUGAGUAACCUGCCCUUGACUUUGGGAUAACUUCAGGAAACUGGGGCUAAUACCGGAUAGGAGCUCCUGCUGCAUGGUGGGGGUUGGAAAGUUUCGGCGGUUGGGGAUGGACUCGCGGCUUAUCAGCUUGUUGGUGGGGUAGUGGCUUACCAAGGCUUUGACGGGUAGCCGGCCUGAGAGGGUGACCGGCCACAUUGGGACUGAGAUACGGCCCAGACUCCUACGGGAGGCAGCAGUGGGGAAUAUUGCACAAUGGGCGGAAGCCUGAUGCAGCAACGCCGCGUGCGGGAUGACGGCCUUCGGGUUGUAAACCGCUUUCGCCUGUGACGAAGCGUGAGUGACGGUAAUGGGUAAAGAAGCACCGGCUAACUACGUGCCAGCAGCCGCGGUGAUACGUAGGGUGCGAGCGUUGUCCGGAUUUAUUGGGCGUAAAGGGCUCGUAGGUGGUUGAUCGCGUCGGAAGUGUAAUCUUGGGGCUUAACCCUGAGCGUGCUUUCGAUACGGGUUGACUUGAGGAAGGUAGGGGAGAAUGGAAUUCCUGGUGGAGCGGUGGAAUGCGCAGAUAUCAGGAGGAACACCAGUGGCGAAGGCGGUUCUCUGGGCCUUUCCUGACGCUGAGGAGCGAAAGCGUGGGGAGCGAACAGGCUUAGAUACCCUGGUAGUCCACGCUGUAAACGGUGGGUACUAGGUGUGGGGUCCAUUCCACGGGUUCCGUGCCGUAGCUAACGCUUUAAGUACCCCGCCUGGGGAGUACGGCCGCAAGGCUAAAACUCAAAGGAAUUGACGGGGCCCCGCACAAGCGGCGGAGCAUGCGGAUUAAUUCGAUGCAACGCGUAGAACCUUACCUGGGUUUGACAUGGAUCGGGAGUGCUCAGAGAUGGGUGUGCCUCUUUUGGGGUCGGUUCACAGGUGGUGCAUGGCUGUCGUCAGCUCGUGUCGUGAGAUGUUGGGUUAAGUCCCGCAACGAGCGCAACCCUUGUUCACUGUUGCCAGCACGUUAUGGUGGGGACUCAGUGGAGACCGCCGGGGUCAACUCGGAGGAAGGUGGGGAUAACGUCAAGUCAUCAUGCCCCUUAUGUCCAGGGCUUCACGCAUGCUACAAUGGCUGGUACAGAGAGUGGCGAGCCUGUGAGGGUGAGCGAAUCUCGGAAAGCCGGUCUCAGUUCGGAUUGGGGUCUGCAACUCGACCUCAUGAAGUCGGAGUCGCUAGUAAUCGCAGAUCAGCAACGCUGCGGUGAAUACGUUCCCGGG